rnacentral:rRNA from 1 species
GAUGAACGCUGGCGGCGUGCCUAAUACAUGCAAGUCGAGCGAACAGACGAGGAGCUUGCUCCUCUGAUGUUAGCGGCGGACGGGUGAGUAACACGUGGAUAACCUACCUAUAAGACUGGGAUAACUUCGGGAAACCGGAGCUAAUACCGGAUAACAUGUUGAACCGCAUGGUUCAACAGUGAAAGACGGUCUUGCUGUCACUUAUAGAUGGAUCCGCGCCGCAUUAACUAGUUGGUAAGGUAACGGCUUACCAAGGCAACGAUGCGUAGCCGACCUGAGAGGGUGAUCGGCCACACUGGAACUGAGACACGGUCCAGACUCCUACGGGAGGCAGCAGUAGGGAAUCUUCCGCAAUGGGCGAAAGCCUGACGGAGCAACGCCGCGUGAGUGAAGAAGGUCUUCGGAUCGUAAAACUCUGUUAUUAGGGAAGAACAAAUGUGUAAGUAACUAUGCACGUCUUGACGGUACCUAAUCAGAAAGCCACGGCUAACUACGUG